ACCCAUUAUUCAAUGGUAAAAUGAAUUAGAGCAAACGACGAACUCUUGUUUCUUUCCCAUUCCAUAAUGUUCUCUUCGUCUCACUUUUUCUCUUCUUCCUCACCAAUCUCUCCAAACCCCAACUCCAAUCAUGGAUUCAAGCAUCAACAAGAAGCCAAGAACGAUCAAGAACUUAUAUUAAUUUCAUUUCACUUGAUGAUAUUUCAAUUACCAAGCUAGAAAAAAAUCCCUUCCGCAACCUAGACAACGAGAUAUGUCCAGAAACAUCCAUAAGACUCUUUAUCUCUAUUUUUCUUUCAACCUAACUCAACACCUUCAAAAAUGGUCUCUUGCUCUUCACACUGAAGGACUAUUUGAUUCUCUUCAUCUUCACAGCGGGUUACACGUUAGAGGAUGCUCAACCAGCAAUAUAUUGAAAUUGAACCUGCUCUAUGUGUAUGUUCCUCACUAAGACGAGCACAACAUCCAAGUUAGCAGUCAAUUGCUUCAUUGACCUACGAGUCCACACCAAGAGACUAAGGUCUAAGGGAACAACCACUUGUUCCAACAUGUAAAUUGCUAGACACUUAAUUGUGGGUAGAGCUCCAUGGAGAUCGUGCUGGCUAUGAUGAUACAGCCAUAGUGAGUGAUAUUGGGAGCAUUGAAGGUAGAAGUUAUCUCUUAAUUGGUAAUCAACUUUGCAAUGACAACCCCUUAUAGGGUGAGCCAAUAACCCUCAAUUUAAGGGCAAUGUUUGAGCUGAGAGUUCCAAUCAUAACAAUUGUAACUAAUGAAGGUGGUUCAGGCAAAACACUUGCCAUUGGAUGUGCAAACAAGUGGUUAAUGUUGGAAAACUCAGCAUUUUAUGGCUCUAGCCCUGAAGCUUGUGCUGCAAUAUUAUGAAAGUCUUCACAAGCAAUUCCAAAGGUAUAUGAGAAAUAGUUGCUCAAGUUUAUGAAAAAAAUGGUUUAUCAUACGAAAAUUUUAAUUGAAUAGGCAGCUGAGAAAUUGAGGAUCACAACUCAAGAUCACAGCUCAAGAGCAUUACAGACUCUGGAUAGCAUAUGCAAUUAUUCCAUCAUUUAAGGUGUGCUUGGAACCGAUAUAAUCUCGAAAGAGACCGAUGAUGAACUAUGUAAGCAUUGAAGCAGUUGCUAGUGAUUUCAGUGGUAACCGUGCUCUCUCAAGUCUGGAUGCAGAAAGUUGCAAUGAACAAAGAUCGCUUAGGCUGGGUAGCUUGUCAAAAUUACUUCAACAAACAAAAUGAGAUAUCUUGAUAAAGAGCCUAACAAUCGCAUAUGUGGAUGUUUCUUGGAAGUGGAAUAUGUGCAGGAUGAAUCACUUGGUAUGAUUUGUAAUGUUGAUAAAAGCACGAGUGAGGAAUCGACAUCAUAUUCAUCUGCUACUCCAGAAAAUCAUGACAUCUUAGAUUGACCAUUAUCAAAUUGUCACUUUAGCCACUGAGGGAAUGGUAAUGAUUGUCUCUUAUUUAAUUGAUUCCUGCACAUGCUUGUUUUCAUCAACUGUUUUGUGUCAAUUUGGUUGCAACAUGUGAUACUAAAAGGAACUCAAUGUGUGAUCAAUUAUUUUUGGACAUUGUUUGCAUUAAUUUCCGGCAUCUCUGUAUAGUUGUUGCUUGUUAGCAUUGGCUUAUCAAAGAAAAAAAAAACAGAAAUUGGUAAUUGGUUUAUUCUUAAAUGAUGAAAGGAUCCUAUAUUGGUUUGAGAAAGAAUCAAAUUUUUGAUGUAUCCUUAGAUUGUAGUGAUGAUUUUUGGUCUUUAUAGACUUUGUGCCCUCCUUGAGUCCCCUCUAAAGGCGUAUAACUUGACUAUUGGGCAUAGUACUCAUAAGCAAAA